AUGUACCACUCGUACACUGCGGUUCUGAGCGCCGUCCGCUCACCUGAGGGCUGCUCGCUAGGUCUUGUUAGCC
rnacentral:sRNA from 15 species